rnacentral:pre_miRNA from 1 species
AGCCUUCUGUAUGCGUGCAAAGAUUUCGUCAGCGAUCAACCCACUGGCGUUGGUUGAUGCAACUUCCCAAAUAAGUGAAGUG